rnacentral:rRNA from 1 species
UACGAAGGGUGCAAGCGUUAGUCGGAAUUACUGGGCGUAAGGCGUGCGUAGGCGGUCUCUUAAGUCCGUUGUGAAAGCCCUGGGCUCAACCUGGGAACUGCAGUGGAUACUGAGAAGCUAGAGUGUGUCAGAGGAUGGUGGAAUUCCCGGUGUAGCGGUGAAAUGCGCAGAUAUCGGGAGGAACACCAAUGGCGAAGGCAGCUCGCUGGGACGUGGACUGACGCUGAGACGCGAAAGCGUGGGGAGCAAACAGG